GGUGAACGCUGGCGGUAGGCCUAACACAUGCAAGUCGAACGGCAGCACAGUAAGAGCUUGCUCUUACGGGUGGCGAGUGGCGGACGGGUGAGGAAUACAUCGGAAUCUACUUUUUCGUGGGGGAUAACGUAGGGAAACUUACGCUAAUACCGCAUACGACCUACGGGUGAAAGCAGGGGAUCUUCGGACCUUGCGCGAUUGAAUGAGCCGAUGUCGGAUUAGCUAGUUGGCGGGGUAAAGGCCCACCAAGGCGACGAUCCGUAGCUGGUCUGAGAGGAUGAUCAGCCACACUGGAACUGAGACACGGUCCAGACUCCUACGGGAGGCAGCAGUGGGGAAUAUUGGACAAUGGGCGCAAGCCUGAUCCAGCCAUACUGCGUGGGUGAAGAAGGCCUUCGGGUUGUAAAGCCCUUUUGUUGGGAAAGAAAAGCAGCAGGUUAAUACCCCGCUGUCCUGACGGUACCCAAAGAAUAAGCACCGGCUAACUUCGUG
rnacentral:rRNA from 1 species